rnacentral:rRNA from 1 species
UACGUAGGGACCAAGCGUUGUUCGGAUUUACUGGGGCGUAAAGGGCGCGUAGGCGGCAAUUCAAGUCAUCUGUGAAAUCUCCGGGCUUAACUCGGAACGGUCAGAUGAUACUGCUUUGCUAGAGUGCGGAAGGGCAAUCGGAAUUCUCGGUGUAGCGGUGAAAUGCGUAGAUAUCGUAAGGAAGACCAGUGGCGAAGGCGGGUCUCUGGACAGUUCCUGACGCUGAGGCACGAAGGUCAGGGGAGCAAACGGG